AAAGAAAGUAAGCAAGGGCGCAUGGCGGAUGCCUUGGCUCUCGGAGGCGAUGAAGGACGUGAUAAGCUGCGAUAAGCUUCGGGCAGGUGCAAAUAACCUUUGAUCCGAAGAUUUCCGAAUGGGACAACCCGUCAUUCUGAAGGAAUGACAUCUUGCAUAGCAAGAGGCUAACACAGGGAACUGAAACAUCUUAGUACCUGUAGGAAAAGAAAAUAAUAAUGAUUCCCCUAGUAGUGGCGAGCGAACGGGGAUUAGCCCAAACCAAUGUUGUUACGGCAAUAUUGGGGUUGUAGGACCACGAUGUCGCAAGAAAUUUAGUGAGAAGAACCCUUUGGAAAAUGGGACCAUAGACGGUGAUAGUCCGGUAUUCGAAGCUAAAUGAAGCGUAGUGGUAUCCUGAGUAGCGCGGGACACGAGGAAUCUUGCGUGAAUCUGCCGGGACCAUCCGGUAAGGCUAAAUACUCCCGAGAGACCGAUAGCGAACCAGUACUGUGAAGGAAAGGUGAAAAGCACUUCGAAUAGAAGAGUGAAAUAGUCCCUGAAACCGUGCGCCUACAAGCGGUCGGAGCUGCUUCAGCAGUGACGGCGUGCCUUUUGCAUAAUGAACCUACGAGUUACUUUUUCCGGCAAGGUUAAGGAUCUUGAGAUCCGCAGCCGAAGCGAAAGCGAGUCUUAAUAGGGCGAUUAGUCGGAAGGAGUAGACGCGAAACCAAGUGAUCUACCCUUGGUCAGGUUGAAGGUUAGGUAACACUAACUGGAGGACCGAACCGAUAAGCGUUGAAAAGCUUCCGGAUGAACUGAGGGUGGGGGUGAAAGGCUAAUCAAACUUGGAGAUAGCUCGUACUCCCCGAAAUGCAUUUAGGUGCAGCCUUGGGAAUUACUACUGUGAGGUAGAGCGACUGAUAAGAUGCGAGGGCUUCACCGCCUAUCAAGUCUUGAUAAACUCCGAAUGCGCAGUAGUUCGAUCCCAGGAGUGAGGGCAUGGGUGCUAAGGUCCAUGUCCUAAAGGAGAAGAAUCCAGACCAUCAGCUAAGGUCCCGAAAUAAUUGCUAAGUUGAACUAACGAAGUCAGAUUGCUAAGACAGCUAGGAUGUUGGCUUGGAAGCAGCCAUUCAUUUAAAGAGUGCGUAACAGCUCACUAGUCGAGGAGUUUGGCGUGGAUAAUAAUCGGGCAUUAAGCAAUUUACCGAAGCUAUGGGAUCCGUAAGGAUCGGUAGGGGAGCAUUCCACUCUGCGUCGAAGGUGAAGCGUGAGCUUUGCUGGAGCGUGUGGAAAAGCAAAUGUAGGUAUAAGUAACGAUAAAGGGGGUGAGAAACCCCCUCGCCGAAAGACUAAGGUUUCCUGAUCAACGCUAAUCGGAUCAGGGUUAGUCGGGUCCUAAGGCUCAGCCGAACGGUGAGGCCGAUGGCAGAACAGGUUAAUAUUCCUGUACUACCUUAAAGAGUGACGUGGAGACGGAGGAGUGACAGCGCCGCGGACUGACGGAAUAGUCCGUUGAAGGGUGUAGAUGUUGAUUAUCCCAGGCAAAUCCGGGAUAAGAGUCGAACCUGAUAGUAUACCAAAUUCCUCGGAAUAAGGUAAUAGUGCGUGUAAACAUACUCCCAAGAAAAUCCGCUAAACUUAAUCUUUAAGGUACCCGUACCGCAAACGGACACACGUAGUCGGGUUGAAUAUACUAAGGCGCUUGAGUGAUUCACGGUUAAGGAACUAGGCAAAUUGACCCUGUAACUUCGGGAUAAAGGGUCCCAACGAGAGUUGGGCGCAGAGAAUAGGUCCAGGCAACUGUUUAACAAAAACACAGGGCUGUGCCAAAUUGAAAGAUUACGUAUACAGCCUGACACCUGCCCGGUGCUGGAAGGUUAAGAGGAGAUGUCAUCGCAAGAGAAGCAUUGAAUUGAAGCCCCAGUAAACGGCGGCCGUAACUAUAACGGUCCUAAGGUAGCGAAAUUCCUUGUCGGGUAAGUUCCGACCUGCACGAAUGG
rnacentral:rRNA from 1 species